rnacentral:rRNA from 1 species
AGACCCGAAACCCGGUGAUCUAGCCAUGGGCAGGUUGAAGGUUGGGUAACACUAACUGGAGGACCGAACCGACUAAUGUUGAAAAAUUAGCGGAUGACCUGUGGCUGGGGGUGAAAGGCCAAUCAAACCGGGAGAUAGCUGGUUCUCCCCGAAAGCUAUUUAGGUAGCGCCUCGUGAAUUCAUCUCCGGGGGUAGAGCACUGUUUCGGCUAGGGGGCCAUCCCGGCUUACCAACCCGAUGCAAACUGCGAAUACCGGAGAAUGUUAUCACGGGAGACACACGGCGGGUGCUAACGUCCGUCGUGAAGAGGGAAACAACCCAGACCGCCAGCUAAGGUCCCAAAGUCAUGGUUAAGUGGGAAACGAUGUGGGAAGGCCCAGACAGCCAGGAUGUUGGCUUAGAAGCAGCCAUCAUUUAAAGAAAGCGUAAUAGCUCACUGGUCGAGUCGGCCUGCGCGGAAGAUGUAACGGGGCUAAACCAUGCACCGAAGCUGCGGCAGCGAACGUAUCACUUAAAGCGAUUCAGCGGGUUACGAUUGACGGAGCGAAGCGACGUCAAAGCGUAUACAAAGUCGAGUCAGUUUAAGGAUACGUUCGUUGGGUAGGGGAGCGUUCUGUAAGCCUGUGAAGGUGGCCUGUGAGGGUUGCUGGAGGUAUCAGAAGUGCGAAUGCUGACAUAAGUAACGAUAAAGCGGGUGAAAAGCCCGCUCGCCGGAAGACCAAGGGUUCCUGUCCAACGUU